GACGAACGCUGGCGGCGUGCUUAACACAUGCAAGUCGAACGGAAAGGCCCUGCUUUUGUGGGGUGCUCGAGUGGCGAACGGGUGAGUAACACGUGAGUAACCUGCCCUUGACUUUGGGAUAACUUCAGGAAACUGGGGCUAAUACCGGAUAGGAGCUCCUGCUGCAUGGUGGGGGUUGGAAAGUUUCGGCGGUUGGGGAUGGACUCGCGGCUUAUCAGCUUGUUGGUGGGGUAGUGGCUUACCAAGGCUUUGACGGGUAGCCGGCCUGAGAGGGUGACCGGCCACAUUGGGACUGAGAUACGGCCCAGACUCCUACGGGAGGCAACAGUGGGGAAUAUUGCACAGUGGGCGGAAGCCUGAUGCAGCGACGCCGCGUGCGGGAUGACGGCCUUCGGGUUGUAAACCGCUUUCGCCUGUGACGAAGCGUGAGUGACGGUAAUGGGUAAAGAAGCACCGGCUAACUACGUG
rnacentral:rRNA from 1 species